GAUGAACGCUAGCUACAGGCUUAACACAUGCAAGUCGAGGGGCAGCAUUUAUCUAGCAAUAGAUAAGAUGGCGACCGGCGCACGGGUGAGUAACACGUAUCCAACCUGCCUUUAACUCAGGGAUAGGCUUUCGAAAGAAAGAUUAAUACCUGAUAGUAUAAUUUAGCCUCAUGGUUUUUUUAUUAAAGAAUUUCGGUUAAAGAUGGGGAUGCGUUCCAUUAGAUUGUAGGUGAGGUAACGGCUCACCUAGUCUUCGAUGGAUAGGGGUUCUGAGAGGAAGGUCCCCCACACUGGAACUGAGACACGGUCCAGACUCCUACGGGAGGCAGCAGUGAGGAAUAUUGGUCAAUGGGCGCAAGCCUGAACCAGCCAAGUAGCGUGAAGGAUGACUGCCCUAUGGGUUGUAAACUUCUUUUAUAUGGGAAUAAUUUGCUCUACGUGUAGAGUAUUGCAUGUACCAUACGAAUAAGCAUCGGCUAACUCCGUGCCAGCCGCCGCCGUAACAC
rnacentral:rRNA from 1 species